CUACAGUACAUCUGUGGAACUUGAGGAAACUUUGCCACAAGAUAGAUCAGACAAAGCCAACCAGCAUCCCUGAUGAAAAGUGAUUUCUGCUUUAAUUGAAAUGAGCACUAUGAACAGCUGCCAGAAACUUCUCAUGGUAGAGAAACUGCCAGCAGCCAGAUGAAGACACCUGUCCCGAUCUGCAUGUGGAGCCAUGAGCAGUCAUUUCCUAACUUGGCAGUGCUCCUUGCAGUGACAUUUCCAACACCACCUAGAGGACCAGGAAAUUCAGUCAGGUUGGCAACACCAGAGGUGGGCCUGAUCAGAUCUUUCUCGGCAAGUUCUUAUUCAAGAAAUAAGAGAAAAUGGAGGACGCUGGGCAUUAAUCCCGAGAUGCUAUAGAGAAUUUUUUUGGAGGUUAACUGCUGAUUUGCAAAUAUGCAAACUUUUCAAGCUUUGGUCUAUGUGGAUUUGGAAGAAAACUGAAAAAAGAUAUUGAGGAUAGUUUCAUUCCUUUCCUACUGGUCUUGGUGCUCUGGCCUGGUGUCAGGUCUGAGCCUCUGAGGUGGGAGAGCUGAGUUCAGGACACUGGACCACCAGACUUCCCGGGCCAACGUAAUAUCAAAUGACAAGAGCUCUCCCAGAGAUCUCCGUCUAAAUGCUAAGACGCAGUUCUACCCAAAAGCCAGCAAGCAGUGUUACUGGAUGCCCCAUGCCAAACAACUAGCAAGACAGGAACACAACCCCACCUAUUAGCAGAGAGGCUGCCUAAAAUCAUACUAAGCUCACAGAUACCCCAAAACACACCACCAGACACAGCCCCGCCCACCAGAAAGACAAGAUCCAGCCCCACCCACCAGAACACAGGCACCAGUCCCCUCCACCAGGAAUCCUACACAGCCCACUGAACCAACCGUACCCACUGGGGCAGACACCAAAAACAACAGGAACUACGAACCUGCAGCCUGCAAAAAUGAGACUGCAAACACAGUAAGUUAAACAAACUGGGAAGACAGAUAAAUAUGCAGCAGAUGAAGGGGCAAGGUAAAAACCCACCAGACCAAACAAACGGAGAGGAAAUAGGCAGUCUACCUGAAAAAGAAUUCAGAGUAAUGAUAGUAAAGAUGACCCAAAAUCUUGGAAAUAGAAUGGAGAAAAACAAGAAACAUUGCACAAGGACAUAGAACUAAAGAGCAAACAAACAAUGAUGAACAACACAAGAAAUGAAAUUAAAAAUUCUCUAGAGGAAUCAAUAGCAUAAUAACUAAGGCAGAAGAACAGAUAAGAGACCUGGAAGGUAAAAUAGUGGAAAUAACUACUGCAGAGCAGAAUAAAGAAAAAAGAAUGAAAAGAAUUGAGGACAGUCUCAGAGACUGCUGGGACAACGUUAAAUGCACCAACAUUUGAAUUAUAGGGGUCUCAGAAGAAGAAGAGAAAAAGAAAGGGUCUGAGAAAAUAUUAGAAGAGAUUAUAGUUGAAAACUUCCCUAACACGGGAAAAGAAAUAGUUAAUCAAGUCCAGGAAGCAGAGAGAGUCCCAUACAGGAUAAAUCCAAGCUGAAACACACCAAGACACAUAUUAAUGAAACUAUCAAAAAUGAAAUACAAAGAAAAAAUAUUAAAAGCAGCAAGGGAAAAGCAACAAAAAAUAUACAAGGGAAUCCCCAUAAGGUUAACAG